GAUGAAGAACGCAGCAAAAUGCGAUAAGUAAUGUGAAUUGCAGAAUUCAGUGAAUCAUCGAAUCUUUGAACGCACAUUGCGCCCGCUGGUAUUCCGGCGGGCAUGCCUGUUCGAGCGUCAUUUCAACCCUCAAGCCCCCGGGUUUGGUGUUGGGGAUCGGCUCUGCUCUUCUGGGCGGUGCCGCCCCCGAAAUACAUUGGCGGUCUCGCUGCAGCCUCCAUUGCGUAGUAGCUAACACCUCGCAACUGGAACGCGGCGCGGCCAUGCCGUAAAACCCCAACUUCUGAAUGUUGACCUCGGAUCAGGUAGGAAUACCCGCUGAACUUAAGCAUAUCAAUAAGCGGAGGA
rnacentral:misc_RNA from 1 species